rnacentral:rRNA from 2 species
GAUGGUGCUUGCACCUGAUUGAUUUUGGUCGCCAACGAGUGGCGGACGGGUGAGUAACACGUAGGUAACCUGCCCAGAAGCGGGGGACAACAUUUGGAAACAGAUGCUAAUACCGCAUAACAGCGUUGUUCGCAUGAACAACGCUUAAAAGAUGGCUUCUCGCUAUCACUUCUGGAUGGACCUGCGGUGCAUUAGCUUGUUGGUGGGGUAACGGCCUACCAAGGCGAUGAUGCAUAGCCGAGUUGAGAGACUGAUCGGCCACAAUGGGACUGAGACACGGCCCAUACUCCUACGGGAGGCAGCAGUAGGGAAUCUUCCACAAUGGGCGCAAGCCUGAUGGAGCAACACCGCGUGAGUGAAGAAGGGUUUCGGCUCGUAAAGCUCUGUUGUUAAAGAAGAACACGUAUGAGAGUAACUGUUCAUACGUUGACGGUAUUUAACCAGAAAGUCACGGCUAACUACGUGCCAGCAGCCGCGGUAAUACGUAGGUGGCAAGCGUUAUCCGGAUUUAUUGGGCGUAAAGAGAGUGCAGGCGGUUUUCUAAGUCUGAUGUGAAAGCCUUCGGCUUAACCGGAGAAGUGCAUCGGAAACUGGAUAACUUGAGUGCAGAAGAGGGUAGUGGAACUCCAUGUGUAGCGGUGGAAUGCGUAGAUAUAUGGAAGAACACCAGUGGCGAAGGCGGCUACCUGGUCUGCAACUGACGCUGAGACUCGAAAGCAUGGGUAGCGAACAGGAUUAGAUACCCUGGUAGUCCAUGCCGUAAACGAUGAGUGCUAGGUGUUGGAGGGUUUCCGCCCUUCAGUGCCGGAGCUAACGCAUUAAGCACUCCGCCUGGGGAGUACGACCGCAAGGUUGAAACUCAAAGGAAUUGACGGGGGCCCGCACAAGCGGUGGAGCAUGUGGUUUAAUUCGAAGCUACGCGAAGAACCUUACCAGGUCUUGACAUCUUGCGCCAACCCUAGAGAUAGGGCGUUUCCUUCGGGAACGCAAUGACAGGUGGUGCAUGGUCGUCGUCAGCUCGUGUCGUGAGAUGUUGGGUUAAGUCCCGCAACGAGCGCAACCCUUGUUACUAGUUGCCAGCAUUAAGUUGGGCACUCUAGUGAGACUGCCGGUGACAAACCGGAGGAAGGUGGGGACGACGUCAGAUCAUCAUGCCCCUUAUGACCUGGGCUACACACGUGCUACAAUGGACGGUACAACGAGUCGCGAACUCGCGAGGGCAAGCAAAUCUCUUAAAACCGUUCUCAGUUCGGACUGCAGGCUGCAACUCGCCUGCACGAAGUCGGAAUCGCUAGUAAUCGCGGAUCAGCAUGCCGCGGUGAAUACGUUCCCGGGCCUUGUACACACCGCCCGUC